CUUCUUAGAGGGACUAUCGGUGGUAAAUCGAUGGAAGUUUGAGGCAAUAACAGGUCUGUGAUGCCCUUAGAUGUUCUGGGCUGCACGCGCGCUACACUGAUGAAGUCAGCGAGU
rnacentral:rRNA from 1 species